AUGCAUGCUUCCACUUGUUUAGUUGUUCUACCUCAUGUUAAAAGGGAAGCAUUUUUCUUUUUAACAUCGCAUGAUGAUUACAUGACCUUAUUAAUUCUUUGUACGACAAAAGGAUCCUUUGUUUUUGCUUUAACCCCGGGAUAUGCCAAUUUCAUUCUUCUUUUAAGAUUACCACUUGAAUGGAUAUACCCAGCCAGCUGA
rnacentral:lncRNA from 1 species